GACGAACGCUGGCGGCGUGCCUAAUACAUGCAAGUCGAGCGGAACACUUGGAGCUUGCUCCAAGCGUUUAGCGGCGGACGGGUGAGUAACACGUGGGCAACCUGCCCUGCAGAUCGGGAUAACUCCGGGAAACCGGUGCUAAUACCGAGUAGUUUGAAGCCUCACCUGAGGCUUCACGGAAAGACGGUUUCGGCUGUCACUGCAGGAUGGGCCCGCGGCGCAUUAGCUAGUUGGUGGGGUAACGGCCCACCAAGGCCACGAUGCGUAGCCGACCUGAGAGGGUGACCGGCCACACUGGGACUGAGACACGGCCCAGACUCCUACGGGAGGCAGCAGUAGGGAAUCUUCCGCAAUGGACGCAAGUCUGACGGAGCAACGCCGCGUGAGUGACGAAGGUUUUCGGAUCGUAAAACUCUGUUGUGAGGGAAGAACACGUACCAACUAACUAUUGGUACC
rnacentral:rRNA from 1 species